rnacentral:rRNA from 1 species
UACGGGGGGGGCAAGCGUUGUUCGGAAUUACUGGGCGUAAAGGGCGCGUAGGCGGCCUACUAAGUCGGACGUGAAAUCCCUCGGCUCAACCGAGGAACUGCGUCCGAUACUGGCAGGCUGGAAUCCGGGAGAGGGAUGUGGAAUUCCAGGUGUAGCGGUGAAAUGCGUAGAUAUCUGGAGGAACACCGGUGGCGAAGGCGGCAUCCUGGACCGGUAUUGACGCUGAGUGAGCGAAAGCCAGGGGAGCAAACGGG